GCUUGUCUCAAAGAUUAAGCCAUGCAUGUCUAAGAAUAAGCCCAUAGAACGGCGAAUCUGCGAAUGGCUCAUUACAUCAGUUAUUGUUUAUUUGAUGGUACACUAUGCCUUUUAGGCCGGGCUACUUGGAUAACCGUAGUAAUUCUAGAGCUAAUACAUGCAUCAACCCCCGACUUUUGAAGGGGUGUAUUUAUUAGAUUGAAACCAAUGCGGGUUCGCCCGGUAUUUGGUGAUUCAUAAUAACUUUCGGAUCGACUUCGGUCGAUGCAUCAUUCAAGUUUCUGCCCUAUCAGCUUUGGAUGGUAGGGUAUUGGCCUACCAUGGCUUUAACGGGUAACGGAGAAUUAGGGUUCGAUUCCGGAGAGGGAGCCUGAGAAAUGGCUACCACAUCCAAGGAAGGCAGCAGG
rnacentral:rRNA from 1 species